AUUGAACGAUGGCGGCAGGCCUAACACAUGCAAGUCGAACGAGUGGCGGACGGGAGAGUAAUGUCUGGGCAACUGCCCGAUGGAGGGGGAUAACUAAUGGAAACAGUAGAUAAUACCGCAUACCAUGGGAUGUGCCAAGAUGGGAUUAGCUAAGAGUGGGGUGAACGGCUCACCUAGGCGACGAUCCCUAGCUGGUCUGAGAGGAUGAACAUCCACACUGGAACUGAGACACGGUCCAGACGCCGACGGGAGGCAGCAGUGGGGAAUAUUGCACAAUGGGCGCAAGCCUGAUGCAGCCAUGCCGCGUGUAUGAAGAAGGCCUUCGGGUUGUAAAGUACUUUCAGCGAGGAGGCGUUACCCGCAGAAGAAGCACCGGCUAACUCCGUGCCAGCAGCCGCGGUAAUUC
rnacentral:rRNA from 1 species